CGAACAGAUAAGGAGCUUGCUCCUUUGACGUUAGCGGCGGACGGGUGAGUAACACGUGGGUAACCUACCUAUAAGACUGGAAUAACUCCGGGAAACCGGGGCUAAUGCCGGAUAACAUGUUGAACCGCAUGGUUCUACAGUGAAAGACGGUCUUGCUGUCACUUAUAGAUGGACCCGCGCCGUAUUAGCUAGUUGGUGGGGUAACGGCCUACCAAGGCGACGAUACGUAGCCGACCUGAGAGGGUGAUCGGCCACACUGGAACUGAGACACGGUCCAGACUCCUACGGGAGGCAGCAGUAGGGAAUCUUCCGCAAUGGGCGAAAGCCUGACGGAGCAACGCCGCGUGAGUGAUGAAGGUCUUCGGAUCGUAAAGCUCUGUUGUUAGGGAAGAACAAAUGUGUAAGUAACUGUGCACAUCUUGACGGUACCUAACCAGAAAGCCACGGCUAACUACGUGCCAGCAGCCGCGGUAAUACGUAGGUGGCAAGCGUUAUCCGGAAUUAUUGGGCGUAAAGCGCGCGUAGGCGGUUUUUUAAGUCUGAU
rnacentral:rRNA from 1 species